rnacentral:lncRNA from 1 species
CUUGGUGACUGGACAGUUGUGCAGGUUUCUGCUUCUGGCAGACAUCUGAUUAUCAGUUGCUGUCUACAUUCUGUUCUCAGUAGACUGCGAGCCAUGGAUGUGCUGUGGAUGUGAACCAGUCCAGCUGAUGUGGACACCCCCUGUCUCUGCAACAGAAUCUGCCAACCAGAAGCUCCUGAUGGAAUCUCCAUUGCCUAAAUUCCUUUUGUUUACUUUUGACUAGCAUUUCAACCUUCUGGGGUCCCUAACUUCGUCCAAAGUCAGCAGGAAUUAACAUGAGAAUGAAUACGUCACCCAUUUUCCUUGGUUAAAAUGCUAAGUCAAAAGGAAUUCCCUUACAUGGGCAGUGUCAAUAUCUCUCACUUCCUGAUGGGCACAAGAGAAGGACAGCAAUUCCAUGAUUGGAAUUUCCAAAAAAUAAAAUGGGGGAAUGAAGGCAUCAGCUCCCCAUUUCGGCAACCAUGACAGCCUGCCAUGAAUGCCAUGGCAGACAUGUAUGCUUGCCAUGACCCUGCCUUGGUCAAUAGAGGUAAGGUGCCUGCCUCGUGGCAAGGAACCAAUCAGAAUUUAGCUGGUGGUGCUAUGGUUUACGGCUCUGGGUGUGCCUUACAGACAAGUACACAGCAAUGGUGCCCAGAGCAUGGCAACCACCCUGGGAGGACCUAUGGGCCAUAACAACCAAUUGGCCAAUCAACACAUGGUAAACACUCCAAACCUUGAGGCACAACAAUCCUGAGCAUGUGCGUAUCCCUAGACACUCCCCGUACGCUGCCUUACAAGAUCUCUAUGCAGCCCCAUCCAGCUGUCUUUUGUAGCCAUCUGCCUUGGCGUGUGGAUGAAAGACACGAGUUAACAUGGGUUUAGCUUGCUAAACAACAAUAAAG